GAUGAACGCUGUCGGCGUGCCUAAUACAUGCACGUCGAGCGCAGCGGGGACGGGUGAGUAACACGUGGGUAACCUCCCAUAAUACUGGGAGAACUUCGGGAACCCGGGGCUAACUCGGAUACUUAUAGAUGGCUCUGCGCUGCAUUAGCUUGUGGGUAAGGUAAAGGCUUACCAAGGAAACGAUGCAUAUCCGACCUGUGAGGGUGACCGGCCACACUGGACCUGAGACACGGUCCAGACUCCGACGGGAGGCAGCAGGAGGGAAUCUUCCGCAAUGGGCGAAAGCCUGACGGAGCAACGCCGCGUGAGUGAUGAAGGUCUUCGGAUCGUAAAACUCUGUUAUUAGGGAAGCGGUACCUAUCAGAAAGCCACGGCUAACUACGUGCCAGCAGCCGCGGUAAUAC
rnacentral:rRNA from 1 species